CCCUACGGGGUGCAGCCGAAGAAGAAUGCAUGCCGUCAGUAGACAGAUGCGUUUCAUAGCGGACCGUCCCUGUCUUCGAAUUUGCUAUGUACAUUCAACACCAUCGGCCGGCCGUAUGUCCAGAGCUUAUGAACAGCCUCAUUAAACCUUUGCGGUGCUUGAAGGAUAUGCUAUUAUUAGUGGCAUGACCGGCUUCACGAUCCGGGCCCUCCACAAAGGGGAUCGCGGGCCGGCGCGGCUUCAUCACUACCGCAGGAGGUACAGGUUAUGAAAAACAGGGUCAGGGCAUAUUCGGUGACCGUCCUGCUUUGUGCACUCGCCGGAUUUUUUAUCAGCGCUGCCGGGUAUUCCCAGCUGGACAUCGAGGAUAAGGACAAGGCGGGACUUUUCCCCGUUUCGCGGGAGGGC
rnacentral:rRNA from 1 species